CCUACGGGAGGCAGCAGUGGGGAAUUUUGGACAAUGGGGGAAACCCUGAUCCAGCAAUGCCGCGUGUGUGAAGAAGGCCUUCGGGUUGUAAAGCACUUUUAUUCGGAGAGAAAUCCCUUGGGCUAAUACCCUGAGGGUCUGACGGUACCGGAUGAAUAAGCGCCGGCUAACUACGUGCCAGCAGCCGCGGUAAUACGUAGGGCGCGAGCGUUAAUCGGAAUUACUGGGCGUAAAGCGUGCGCAGGCGGUUUUUGUAAGACAGAUGUGAAAGCCCCGGGCUCAACCUGGGAAUUGCAUUUGUGACUGCAAGGCUAGAGUGUGUCAGAGGGAGGUGGAAUUCCGCGUGUAGCAGUGAAAUGCGUAGAGAUGCGGAGGAACACCGAUGGCGAAGGCAGCCUCCUGGGAUAACACUGACGCUCAUGCACGAAAGCGUGGGGAGCAAACAGGAUUAGAUACCCUGGUAGUCCACGCCCUAAACGAUGUCAACUAGUUGUCGGGAAUUAAAUUUCUUGGUAACGCAGCUAACGCGUGAAGUUGACCGCCUGGGGAGUACGGCCGCAAGGUUAAAACCUCAAAGGAAUUGACGG
rnacentral:rRNA from 1 species